rnacentral:rRNA from 1 species
GAUGAACGCUGGCGGCGUGCCUAAUACAUGCAAGUCGAGCGAACGGACGAGAAGCUUGCUUCUCUGACGUUAGCGGCGGACGGGUGAGUAACACGUGGAUAACCUACCUAUAAGACUGGGAUAACUUCGGGAAACCGGAGCUAAUACCGGAUAAUAUAUUGAACCGCAUGGUUCAAUAGUGAAAGACGGUUUUGCUGUCACUUAUAGAUGGAUCCGCGCCGCAUUAGCUAGUUGGUAAGGUAACGGCUUACCAAGGCAACGAUGCGUAGCCGACCUGAGAGGGUGAUCGGCCACACUGGAACUGAGACACGGUCCAGACUCCUACGGGAGGCAGCAGUAGGGAAUCUUCCGCAAUGGGCGAAAGCUUGACGGAGCAACGCCGCGUGAGUGAUGAAGGUCUUCGGAUCGUAAAACUCUGUUAUUAGGGAAGAACAAAUGUGUAAGUAACUAUGCACGUCUUGACGGUACCUAAUCAGAAAGCCACGGCUAACUACGUG